UACGUAGGGGGCAAGCGUUGUCCGGAAUCAUUGGGCGUAAAGCGCGUGUAGGCGGCCCGGUAAGUCCGCUGUGAAAGUCGGGGGCUCAACCCUCGGAUGCCGGUGGAUACUGUCGGGCUAGAGUGCGGGAGAGGCGAGUGGAAUUCCUGGUGUAGCGGUGAAAUGCGCAGAUAUCAGGAGGAACACCAAUUGCGAAGGCAGCUUACUACAGGGACAUUGACACUGGAGGCACGAAAGCGUGGGGAUCAAACAGG
rnacentral:rRNA from 1 species